ACUGCCAUGUUGCAAGCUGCCCUGUGAAGAGGCCUCCAUGACAAAGAACUGUAGGGUCCCCUGGACAACAGCCAGCAAGGCAAUGAGACCCUUAGUCCAAUAGCCCACGAGGAACUGAAUCUUGCCAAGAACCACAUGGAUGAGGUUGCAAGUAGGUCCUUCCCAAGUGUACCCUGGACGACAUUGUUACAUGUGCUUUCCCAAAUCCACGGACUUCUGGCUGAUCCGGGGUUGCAAUAUGCACUGCACCACCAUCCUCUCUCUUGGAAAUUCCCUUCGGCUGGGAAAGAAAUGGAUGAUCAAGGUCAGUGGUUUCCAACCAGGCUGAACAUCAGAAUCCACAGGAAUGAUGCUAAGCCCCAUUUCACCUCUGAGACUUUCAGGUUCAAGCGUCUGGAAUGGGGCCACAGAUCUGAAUUUUUAAAGAAGGGUUCUGGUUGACUCUGACAGUUACAUUAAAUGAGUAUAUUUUGGAACCACCAGGCUGAGUGGCCUUAAAAUUUUCUUCAAGAACUAAGGCUCCAGGGCAGGAGGGUACUAGGGAAACUGCCUGGCCACCUGACCCUUCUCUGAUCUCCUCACUCUCUCAGGUGACCCCUUCCUGGACCUAGCAUCCCUCAACUUUUCUGACUUCCCUGGACCAGGCUGGGAACUCACAUUCUCUUCUAGAGAAUAGAAUGCAAUAGAGUUGAUGGGAUGUCACUUUUGAUAUUAGUAUGUAAAAAGGCUGUGCACUCUCUCUUGCCUUCUCACUUGCUUUGAGGGAAGCCCACUGCCAUGUUGCAAGUUGCCCUGUGAAGAGGCCUCCAUGACAAGGAACUGUAGGGUCCCCUGGACAACAGCCAGCAAGGCAAUGAGACCCUUAGUCUCAUCAAUAGUCUACGAGGAACUGAAUCUUGCAAGAACCACAUGGAUGAGGUUGCAAGGUCCAAUUAGAUAAACUCAUCCUCGCUGGCAGAUAAUGGCACCAAUGUGAUCAUCCUCCUAGAGGUAUUUUCAUCUUGGUAUGGAGCCUCCAGAGCUAUCUUUGCUUGAAAGAAUGAAACUUCAGGAAUGAAAGUUUGCACAUAAAGCAAGCCCAUGAGAAAGACAUUUCGGGAAAACUAGAAUCCUGUUAAGUUAUGGGAUUUUUUUCAAGCCACAUGGUUGAUAAGUAGUCUGACCAGGAUCCUGGAGCAACACAAGGAAGACAAGGACCCUUGAAGACAAGGCAGCCUUGAAACCAAAUGAAGCCCUGGGCCAGUGAGCAUGGCAAGAGGAAGACUGUUAAUUGCGAGAAAGCUGGGUCUUGAAGAUGAUUCCAUAUCAACAUACAGGGAGUUCCACCACUGAAUGGUCUAUCGGUUGGGAAUGCCAUCAUUUAUUUUCACCAGUGGGGAAGAAUUGGCUGGAGUGCAAUGACAUGAUUAUGGACCUUCAGGGAUUGAGCAGCUCGACAUCCCAAGGAUCAAGCAAUCCUCCGGCCUCAGCCUACCAAGUAGCUGGGACUACAGCCAUUUGACAC
rnacentral:lncRNA from 1 species